rnacentral:rRNA from 1 species
UACGUAGGGUGCGAGCGUUAAUCGGAAUUACUGGGCGUAAAGCGUGCGCAGGCGGUUUUGUAAGCCAGAUGUGAAAUCCCCGGGCUUAACCUGGGAAUGGCAUUUGGGACUGCAAGGCUGGAGUGCGGCAGAGGAGACUGGAAUUCCUGGUGUAGCAGUGAAAUGCGUAGAUAUCAGGAGGAAUACCGAUGGCGAAGGCAGGUCUCUGGGCUGACACUGACGCUCAUGCACGAAAGCGUGGGGAGCAAACAGGAUUA